GACGAACGCUGGCGGCGUGCCUAAUACAUGCAAGUCGAACGCUGAAGAGAGGAGCUUGCUCUUCUUGGAUGAGUUGCGAACGGGUGAGUAACGCGUAGGUAACCUGCCUUGUAGCGGGGGAUAACUAUUGGAAACGAUAGCUAAUACCGCAUAACAAUAGGUGACACAUGUCAUUUAUUUGAAAGGGGCAAUUGCUCCACUACAAGAUGGACCUGCGUUGUAUUAGCUAGUAGGUGAGGUAACGGCUCACCUAGGCGACGAUACAUAGCCGACCUGAGAGGGUGAUCGGCCGCACUGGGACGGAGACACGGCCCAGACUCCUACGGGAGGCAGCAGUAGGGAAUCUUCGGCAAUGGGGGCAACCCUGACCGAGCAACGCCGCGUGAGUGAAGAAGGUUUUCGGAUCGUAAAGCUCGGUUGUAAGUCAAGAACGAGUGUGAGAGUGGAAAGUUCACACUGUGACGGUAGCUGACCAGAAAGGGACGGCUAACUACGUG
rnacentral:rRNA from 1 species